rnacentral:rRNA from 1 species
ACGAACGCUGGCGGCAUGCCUAACACAUGCAAGUCGAACGAGACCUUCGGGUCUAGUGGCGCACGGGUGCGUAACAUGUGGGAAUAUGCCUUUUGGUACGGAACAACGUUUGGAAACGAACGCUAAUACCGUAUGGUCCCUUCGGGGUAAAGAUUUAUCGCCAAAAGAUUAGCCCGCACUAGAUUAGCUAGUUGGUAAGGUAAUGGCUUACCAAGGCGACGAUCUAUAGCUGGUCUGAGAGGACGAUCAGCCACACUGGGACUGAGACACGGCCCAGACUCCUACGGGAGGCAGCAGUUAGGAAUAUUGGACAAUGGGCGCAAGCCUGAUCCAGCCAUGCCGCGUGAGUGAUGAAGGCCUUCGGGUUGUAAAACUCUUUAGCCGAUGAAUAUAAUGACUGUAGUCGGAAAAUAAGCCCCGGCUAACUUCGU